UGUAAUUAGGGGUAUCUGGCUAGGAUUUGACAUUUAAAUAUUUACAAGUGCAUUAGGUCUCUUAGGUUUAGUUUAAGACCAACAUGAGCGAGUGAGAUAAACUCGACUAGCUUAUGUAGGUUAAGGCAUCAAGCGUGAAUUCCGUGCGUGCACUAGACCCCUCAGGAUCGGAUCCCAAACCUAAUCAAUACCAAAUGUGAAAUUACCCCCACCUUACCACAUCGUUGGGCAAAUGUGCGAUACUAUGAGGGAUAUCUUGGGCAAAUGUGCAUUUUCUUGGUGGAUAUCUUGGGCAAAUGUGCAAUACUAUGAGGGAUAUCUUGGGCAAAUGUGCAUUUUCUUGGUGGAUAUCUUGGGCAAAUGUGCAAUACCAUCAGGAAUAUCUUGGGCAAAUGUGCAAUAUGAUGAGGGAUAUCUUGGCAAAUAUCUUGGAUAAAUUUAUCUUAAAUUGCUAAAGAACAAUGUUGUAAGGUUAGUAGAUAUUUAUAUUAGCGAUAGAAUAGGGGUUCCUUGCGCAUAGGAACGAAGUAAGGUUGGCUAAUGGAG